UGGGGCGUGGUCUCAGUUUGGCCAGCUUCUACCAUCUCAAUAAUUUUAUAGCUAGCUAGCUAGCUGCGUGCAUCCAUAUCCAGUCCUGGCGGCCCAAUUUAAUUUAUAUUCUUCCCUCAUCACUUAAGAGCUCACCAAAAUGGUUUAUGCCAAUUAAAUGUACCAAUCUGUCUCCAAGCGCUUAAGCUUGCUGUAUCUUUCUCGCUCGUCUAUGUGAACACAGGAUCUACAUGUGUAAAAGCCGCAAAAACUCAUGGGCAUCUUCUUGCUGAUUUGGUCUCCAGCGAAUUAACAACCCUUUCAUUCAGAAAUUAGAAUAUACAGCUGAUGGACACACGACAGAGUUUUGCUGACAUUCAUUUAGAGAAUUUUCAAAGCAUACACCAUACAAAACUGGCCAAUUUCAUGACAAUGCUCUGAUUGAGUAAACGUGUACAUUUAUUUUAGUGUGAGUCAGAUGUUUGCAGUGUCUCA